rnacentral:rRNA from 1 species
CGAACGCUGGCGGCGUGCUUAACACAUGCAAGUCGAGCGAUGAAGUUUCUUCGGAAAUGGAUUAGCGGCGAACGGGUGAGGAACACGUGAAGAAUCUGCCCUCCACUUUGGGAUAACACCGGGAAGCCGGUGCUAAUACCGAAUAUUGAAACAUAAGUGGCAUCACUGAGUUUUGAAAGAAUUUUGGUGGAGGAUGACUUCGCGGCCUAUCAGCUAGUUGGUGAGGUAAUGGCUCACCAAGGCAACGACGGGUAGCCGGCCUGAGAGGGCGACCGGCCACACUGGGACUGAGACACGGCCCAGACUCCUACGGGAGGCAGCAGUGGGGAAUAUUGGGCAAUGGAGGAAACUCUGACCCAGCGACGCCGCGUGCGGGAUGAAGGCCUUCGGUUGUAACCGCUUUCAGUAGGAAGAAGCGAAAGUGACGGUACCUACAAAGAAGCACCGGCUAACUAUGCGCCAGCAG